UCAUUAUGAAAUCUUGUUGAGAGCUUCUAGUCUAUGAGAACUAACUAGUUAGCCACUAGCAAAACGCUAAGGCGAGCUAGCAGCUUGACAACCAAAUACCAGACGAUUAAUAGUAGCUGUAGUAUAGUUGUACAAGCAGUAGUAGUAAUACUAAAAGUACAAGCAGCAGUAGUAGUAUAAACAGCUGUUAGAGUCGUAGAAGUAGUAUCAGCAUUUGUAAUAGUAUUCCAAGUUGUAGUAGCAGUGCCAGUAUCAGCAGCAGUUAAUGUACUACUAGUACUAGUCACAUUGCUAUUACUACCACCAAUACUACCAAUAGUAGUUAUAAAGCCUAACUCAUGUAUAUCCAGAUUACCAUCUAUGUUCUUCCUCCAAACCCAUUUUAUGAUUGGGAUUACAGGCAAUUCUUUAGGACUGCUCUCAAAUAAUUGAAAUGUUACUAAACAAGGUUAUACUUAUCAAAUUAAAUAGCUGUGGUCUACAGUAUAUUGGCGAAUUCGGUUCUUUGUACUUAAUUUAUUAGCAGGAUUUCUUUUUAAUAUGUUGUGUACAGACUUAUUUACUUGUCUGUCUACUUUUCUUACUCCAUGUAGGUUUCCCAGAGACUAUGGGUUGAGGAGGAAUUGGAAGUUUGUCGGCUUAGACCUGGUGUCAUUCCAUCAGUGUUAAACUUCCCGGCUCAUCUUGGAAGAGUACGUGCCAGAAAGACCACGACCAAUCAGCCUUGAGAUCUUAGGCAGCGUCUCCCUGAGGUCCCUCUCUAUCUCCCCACACAUCCACCAACCACUGGAACACAUCUCCAAAGUUCUGCUGGACCAGCUCAGCUUCCCUUCAGAAGAAGUGCUGCCACCUGCCAGAUGAAGGAGCCUUUUGAGAGGCAGCUGGCAUCGUGAUUGGACUGUACUUUGGUCUGUUCCAAUCCAGCUUCAGCUCCAGAGACGGCAGGCGGGACGAGUCAACGGAGGCCUGGUGGACGAAGGCAUGCAGCUGAGUACAAUCCAGAAAACAACAGAGGAGGAGUGCAGGGCCAGAACAACCAGAGUAGCAUCGUAUGUCUCUUAGAAAACAUCAUAGUAUAGCCUUUGCUAUGAAAAAACACCAUCAUAUACAUCGUAUAUUGUACAAAUAACAAGUCAAAGGAAAGAGACAUACAUUGUAGAAUUGUAGUAAUUGUGGGCUGACUGAUUUACUGAUUGUCAGUAUUUUAUUUUUUACUGAUUUACGGUAAUAAAUAAAUUUAAAAAUGG